GUUGCCAAACCUGUUGAUUUUCUCCAGCAGUAUUGGUUUCUGUUUCGGAUUUUCAGCAUCCACAGUUCUUAGCUUUACACUCUAGGCAGAGAAGUGGCGA